CCUACGGGAGGCAGCAGUGAGGAAUAUUGGUCAAUGGACGAGAGUCUGAACCAGCCAAGUAGCGUGAAGGAUGACUGCCCUAUGGGUUGUAAACUUCUUUUAUAUGGGAAUAAAAUGUUCCACGUGUGGGAUUUUGUAUGUACCAUAUGAAUAAGGAUCGGCUAACUCCGUGCCAGCAGCCGAGGUAAUACGGAGGAUCCGAGCGUUAUCCGGAUUUAUUGGGUGUAACGGGAGCGUAGGUGGAUUGUUAAGUCAGUUGUGAAAGUUUGCGGCUCAACCGUAAAAUUGCAGUUGAAACUGGCAGUCUUGAGUACAGUAGAGGUGGGCGGAAGUCGUGGUGUAGCGGUGAAAUGCUUAGAUAUCACGAAGAACUCCGAUUGCGAAGGCAGUUCACUGGACUGCAACUGACACUGAGGCUCGAAAGUGUGGGUAUCAAACAGGAUUAGAUACCCUAGUAGUC
rnacentral:rRNA from 1 species